UACAGAGGUCUCAAGCGUUGUUCGGAUUCAUUGGGCGUAAAGGGCGCGUAGGCGGCGGGGUAAGUCUGGUGUGAAAUCUCGGGAGCUCAACUCCGAAAUUGGCACUGGAUACUGCUCUGCUAGAGGGCUGGAGAGGAGAUCGGAAUUCACGGUGUAGCAGUGAAAAUGCGUAGAUAUCGUGAGGAAGACCAGUGGCGAAGGCGGAUCUCUGGACAGCUCCUGACGCGAGGCGCGAAGGCUAGGGGAGCAAACGGGAUUGAGAUACC
rnacentral:rRNA from 1 species